UGGGCGUAAGGGCUCGCAGGCGGUUUCUUAAGUCUGAUGUGAAAGCCCCCGGCUCAACCGGGGAGGGUCAUUGGAAACUGGGGAACUUGAGUGCAGAAGAGGAGAGUGGAAUUCCACGUGUAGCGGUGAAAUGCGUAGAGAUGUGGAGGAACACCAGUGGCGAAGGCGACUCUCUGGUCUGUAACUGACGCUGAGGAGCGAAAGCGUGGGGAGCGAACAGGAUUAGAUACCCUGGUAGUCCACGCCGUAAACGAUGAGUGCUAAGUGUUAGGGGGUUUCCGCCCCUUAGUGCUGCAGCUAACGCAUUAAGCACUCCGCCUGGGGAGUACGGUCGCAAGACUGAAACUCAAAGGAAUUGACGGGGGCCCGCACAAGCGGUGGAGCAUGUGGUUUAAUUCGAAGCAACGCGAAGAACCUUACCAGGUCUUGACAUCCUCUGACAAUCCUAGAGAUAGGACGUCCCCUUCGGGGGCAGAGUGACAGGUGGUGCAUGGUUGUCGUCAGCUCGUGUCGUGAGAUGUUGGGUUAAGUCCCGCAACGAGCGCAACCCUUGAUCUUAGUUGCCAGCAUUCAGUUGGGCACUCUAAGGUGACUGCCGGUGACAAACCG
rnacentral:rRNA from 1 species